UACGGAGGGUGCAAGCGUUAUCCGGAUUCACUGGGUUUAAAGGGUGCGUAGGUGGGUUGGUAAGUCAGUGGUGAAAUCCCCGGGCUUAACCUGGGAAUGGCAUUUGGGACUGCAAGGCUGGAGUGUGGCAGAGGAGACUGGAAUUCCUGGUGUAGCAGUGAAAUGCGUAGAUAUCAGGAGGAAUACCGAUGGCGAAGGCAGGUCUCUGGGCUGACACUGACGCUCAUGCACGAAAGCGUGGGGAGCAAACGGG
rnacentral:rRNA from 1 species